UACGUAGGGGGCGAGCGUUGUCCGGAAUCAUUGGGCGUAAAGAGCUCGUAGGCGGUUCAGUAAGUCAGGUGUGAAAGCUCCGAGCUCAACUCGGAGAGGCCACCUGAUACUGCUGUGACUAGAAUCCAGUAGGGGAGUGUGGAACUCCUGGUGUAGCGGUGAAAUGCGCAGAUAUCAGGAAGAACACCAGCGGCGAAAGGCGGCACUCUGGGCUGGAAUUGACGCUGAGGAAGCGAAAGUGUGGGUAGCAAACAGG
rnacentral:rRNA from 1 species